rnacentral:ribozyme from 1 species
ACUCUUUAUUCUAUAUUUUGCUCGUUGUUCAUAAGUUUUUGCUUUGAAUCGUUUCAAGAAACCAGCAAAGAAAUCUAUACAUGCACAUAUUCAAGGUUGAUAAUUUUGUGCCUCUUUGCAAAUUACCAGGUUUUGGCA